CCGUCCCGGCCGUCGCUCCGGGCUCCCCGGCGCCUCCCGGGACACCUGGGCCCUCUCCUUCGGUUCCCGGGGCGGGCGCCUCUCCCCGGACACCUGGGCCCUGCUCCGAGGCGGGUGGGGGGGAUCCCGGUCCCGUUCCCACGGCGGCGGUGGCGGCUCCGGCUCCCUCGGAAGCGGGGGGUGGUGGGUCCCCUCUGCCGGCGCCUGAGGCCUCGGCUCCCCCCGCGGACGGGGAGCCCUCCCGGACGCCUGGGCCCUCGGCGGCUCCCCGAGCUCCCGGAGCCGCCGCCGCCGUCGGAGCCGCCCGGACUCCUGGGCCCUCCCCGACAGCGGCGGCCACCACCGCCGCCGCCGCCACCACCGCCGCCGCUCCCCGAACUCCCGGCACCGCUAGCGUCCCCCGGACGCCGGGCUCCCUGCUCUCGCUGACGCCGGGCAGGGGGGCGGCGGUAGCGGGCGGGGCGUUACCCCGCACCCCUGGCUCCCUGCUCUCGUUGACGCCCGGGCGGGUGGUGCGAGCGUCACCCCGCACCCCCGGUUCCCUGCUCUCGUUGACGCCGGGCCGAGGCCUGGGCGCUUCCCCCCGUCUCCCCGGCGGCCCCUUCCCGCUGCUGCGGGGCGGCGCGGGGGGCGGCGGCGGUGGCGCCUUCGCCCGGACGCCUGGGUCCCCUUUCCUCGCCUUGCCCGCCCGCGCCGUGGGCAGCGCCAGCGCCUUCGCCCGCACGCCCGGCUCCCCUUUCCUGGCGACGCCGGGCCGGGGAGGAAGCGGAGGCGGCGGAGGCGGAAGCGCUUUCCCCGCCGGACGCCUGGGUCCCUGUAUCCAUCGGCUCCAGGGUAACAUGGCCAUGGGGUGCCCCGGACGCCUGGGCUCCUGCAUCCACCGGCUGCAGGGCAGCGUGGGGCUGGGGUGCCCCGGACGCCUGGGCUCCUGCAUCCACCGGCUCCAGGGGAACGUGGCCGUGGGUUGCUCCGGUCGCUUGGGUUCCUGUUACCACCGGCUCCAGGGAAGCAUGGGCACCGGCGGCUCCCGCUCGCCCUUUGCCGUGACCCCCGCCAUGGCGGCGGCGGCCAACACCUCCCGCCUCGCCGCCGCCAACAACAUGGCUGCCGGCGCCUCCCAGUACGACGGCAACAACAUGGCCGCCGCCGCCUCCCAGUACGCCGCCAACAACAUGGCCGCCGCCGCCUCCCAGUACGCCGCCGCCUCCCAGUACGGCGCCCAGUACGGCACCGCCGCCGCCUCCCAGUACGGCACCGCCGCCGCUUCCCAGUACGGCAUGGCGUCGGGCGCCGGCGCCGCUUCCCAGUACGGCGGCGCCCAAAUGGCCGCCGGGCAGUACGGGGCGGCGGCGGCGGGCGCCUCCCAGUACGGCGCCGGCGCCUCCCAGUACGCCGCCGGCGCUUCCCAGUACGCCGCCGACGCCUCCCAGUACGGCCUGGCCUCGGGGGCCGCCGACGCCUCCCAGUACGGCGCCCAGUACGGCGCCCAGUACGGCGCCGCCGCCUCCCAGUACGGAGCCCAGUACGGCGCCGACGGCUCCCAGUACGGCGCCCAGUACGGCGCCUGGGGCGACGCCUCCCAGGACGCCUGGGCCUCGGCGGCCGCCGCCGCCCCCGCCGCCGCCACCGGCGUCAGCUGGGGCAACUGGGUGACGCCGACGCCCUGAGCGGGGGGG
ensembl:lncRNA